ACUCAAAUGAAUUGACGGGGAUCCGCACAAGCGGUGGAGCGCGUGGUUUAAUUCGUUAACAAACGAAGAACCUCACCAAGGCUUGACAUGUAUGGAAUUUCAGGGAAACCUGGAAGUGCUCGCAAGAGAGCCAUAACACAGGUGUUGCAUGGCUGUCGUCAGUUCGUGUUGUGAGAUGUUGGGUUAAGUCCCUUAACGAACGCAACCUUCGUUGUAUGUUACAUUACUUACAAUACUGCCUCGCUAAAACGAGGAGGAAGGUGGAGAUGACGUCCAGUCCUCAUUGCCCUUAUGCCUUGGGCUACACACACGCUACAAUGGUGGAGACAAAGGGUCGCGAAACAGCAAUGUGGAGCUAAUCCCAAAAACUCCAUCCCAGUUCGGAUUGUCGGCUGAAACUCGCCGGCAUGAAGUUGGAAUCGCUAGUAACCGUGUGUCAGCAAGGCACGGUGAAUACGUUCUCGGAUCUUGUACACACCGCCCGU
rnacentral:rRNA from 1 species